GACGUAGGGGGCCAGCGUUGCUCGGAAUUACUGGGCGUAAAGGGUUCGUAGGCGGUGUGGCAAGUCGGUAGUGAAAUCUCCAGGCUUAACUUGGAGGCUGCUGCCGAAACUGCCGUGCUAGAGUACGGGAGAGGCGAGUGGAAUUACAGGUGUAGCGGUGAAAUGCGUAGAGAUCGGCAGGAACACCCAGGGGGAAACCAGUCGACUGGGCAUCUACUGACGCUGAGGUGCGAGAGCGUGGGGAGCGAACCGG
rnacentral:rRNA from 1 species